rnacentral:rRNA from 1 species
AUGAACGCUGGCGGCGUGCCUAAUACAUGCAAGUCGAGCGAACAGACGAGGAGCUUGCUCCUCUGACGUUAGCGGCGGACGGGUGAGUAACACGUGGAUAACCUACCUAUAAGACUGGGAUAACUUCGGGAAACCGGAGCUAAUACCGGAUAAUAUAUUGAACCGCAUGGUUCAAUAGUGAAAGACGGUUUUGCUGUCACUUAUAGAUGGAUCCGCGCCGCAUUAGCUAGUUGGUAAGGUAACGGCCUACCAAGGCGACGAUGCGUAGCCGACCUGAGAGGGUGAUCGGCCACACUGGAACUGAGACACGGUCCAGACUCCUACGGGAGGCAGCAGUAGGGAAUCUUCCGCAAUGGGCGAAAGCCUGACGGAGCAACGCCGCGUGAGUGAUGAAGGUCUUCGGAUCGUAAAACUCUGUUAUUAGGGAAGAACAAAUGUGUAAGUAACUAUGCACGUCUUGACGGUACCUAAUCAGAAAGCCACGGCUAACUACGUG